CCUACGGGGGGCUGCAGUGGGGAAUAUUGGACAAUGGGCGAAAGCCUGAUCCAGCCAUGCCGCGUGGGUGAAGAAGGCCUUCGGGUUGUAAAGCACUUUCAGUGGGGAAGAAAGCCUUGGGGCUAAUACCCUCGAGGAAGGACAUCACCCACAGAAGAAGCACCGGCUAACUCCGUGCCAGCAGCCGCGGUAAUACGGAGGGUGCGAGCGUUAAUCGGAAUUACUGGGCGUAAAGCGCGCGUAGGCGGUCUGAUAAGCCGGUUGUGAAAGCCCCGGGCUCAACCUGGGAACGGCAUCCGGAACUGUCAGGCUAGAGUGCAGGAGAGGGAGGUAGAAUUCCCGGUGUAGCGGUGAAAUGCGUAGAGAUCGGGAGGAAUACCAGUGGCGAAGGCGGCCUUCUGGACUGACACUGACGCUGAGGUGCGAAAGCGUGGGUAGCAAACAGGAUUAGAUACCCUAGUAGUC
rnacentral:rRNA from 1 species